rnacentral:rRNA from 1 species
AGUCAACAUGCCCAGGGGACGUGGAUAACCUCGGGAAACUGAGGAUAAACCGCGAUAGGUCAUCACUUCUGGAAUGGGUAAUGACUUAAACCUAUAUGGCCCCUGGAUCGGACUGCGGCCGAUCAGGCUGUUGGUGAGGUAAUGGCCCACCAAACCUGUAACCGGUACGGGCUCUGAGAGGAGGAGCCCGGAGAUGGGCACUGAGACAAGGGCCCAGGCCCUAUGGGGCGCAGCAGGCGCGAAACCUCUGCAAUAGGCGAAAGCUUGACAGGGUUACUCUGAGUGAUUUCCGUUAAGGAGAUCUUUUGGCACCUCUAAAAAUGGUGCAGAAUAAGGGGUGGGCAAGUCUGGUGUCAGCCGCCGCGGUAAUACCAGCACCCCGAGUGGUCGGGACGUUUAUUGGGCCUAAAGCAUCCGUAGCCGGUUCUACAAGUCUUCCGUUAAAUCCACCUGCUUAACAGAUGGGCUGCGGAAGAUACUAUAGAGCUAGGAGGCGGGAGAGGCAAGCGGUACUCGAUGGGUAGGGGUAAAAUCCGUUGAUCCAUUGAAGACCACCAGUGGCGAAGGCGGCUUGCCAGAACGCGCUCGACGGUGAGGGAUGAAAGCUGGGGGAGCAAACCGGAUUAGAUACCCGGGUAGUCCCAGCUGUAAACGAUGCAGACUCGGUGAUGAAUUGGCUUAUUGCUAAUUCAGUGCCGCAGGGAAGCCGUUAAGUUUGCCGCCUGGGGAGUACGGUCGCAAGACUGAAACU